rnacentral:rRNA from 1 species
ACGGAAGGCAGCAGUGGGGGAUAUUGCACAAUGGGGGCAACCCUGAUGCAGCGACGCCGCGUGAGCGAUGAAGUAUUUCGGUAUGUAAAGCUCUAUCAGCAGGGAAGAAAAUGCCGGUACCUGACUAAGAAGCACCGGCUAAAUACGUGCCAGCAGCCGCGGUACUACGUAUGGUGCAAGCGUUAUCCGGAUUUACUGGGUGUAAAGGGAGCGUAGACGGCAUGGCAAGCCAGAUGUGAAAUGCGGGGGCUCAACUCCUGAACUGCAGUUGGAACUGUCAAGCUAGAGUAUCGGAGAGGUAAGUGGAAUUCCGAGUGUAGCGGUGAAAUGCGUAGAUAUGAGGAGGAACACCAGUGGCGAAGGCGGCUUACUGGACGAUAACUGACGUUGAGGCUCGAAAGUGUGGGGAGCAAACAGGAUUAGAUACCCUGGUA